GUCGGGUGCGGUGGCUCACACCUGUAAUCCCAGCACUUUGGGAGGCUGAGGCAGGAGGAUCACCAGAGGUCAGGAGUUCGAGACUAGCCUGGCCAACAUGGUGAAACCCUGUCUCUA
rnacentral:sRNA from 1 species